rnacentral:miRNA from 1 species
CAAGUAUGCAGGCAGCCACCAUCUAUAUAUAUAUAUAUAUAUAUAAAUGGUGGCUGCCAUU